CGCGGCCUAUCAGCUUGUUGGUGAGGUAAUGGCUCACCAAGGCGACGACGGGUAGCCGGCCUGAGAGGGCGACCGGCCACACUGGGACUGAGACACGGCCCAGACUCCUACGGGAGGCAGCAGUGGGGAAUAUUGCACAAUGGGCGAAAGCCUGAUGCAGCGACGCCGCGUGAGGGAUGACGGCCUUCGGGUUGUAAACCUCUUUCAGCAGGGAAGAAGCGAAAGUGACGGUACCUGCAGAAGAAGCGCCGGCUAACUACGUGCCAGCAGCCGCGGUAAUACGUAGGGCGCAAGCGUUGUCCGGAAUUAUUGGGCGUAAAGAGCUCGUAGGCGGUCUGUCGCGUCGGAUGUGAAAGCCCGGGGCUUAACCCCGGGUCUGCAUUCGAUACGGGCAGACUAGAGUGUGGUAGGGGAGAUCGGAAUUCCUGGUGUAGCGGUGAGAUGCGCAGAUAUCAGGAGGAACACCGGUGGCGAAGGCGGAUCUCUGGGCCAUUACUGACGCUGAGGAGCGAAAGCGUGGGGAGCGAACAGGAUUAGAUACCCUAGUAGUCCACGCCGUAAACGGUGGGAACUAGGUGUUGGCGACAUUCCACGUCGUCGGUGCCGCAGCUAACGCAUUAAGUUCCCCGCCUGGGGAGUACGG
rnacentral:rRNA from 1 species